CCUACGGGAGGCAGCAGUAGGGAAUAUUGCUCAAUGGGGGAAACCCUGAAGCAGCAACGCCGCGUGGAGGAUGAAGGUUUUCGGAUUGUAAACUCCUUUUGUUAGAGAAGAUAAUGACGGUAUCUAACGAAUAAGCACCGGCUAACUCCGUGCCAGCAGCCGCGGUAAUACGGAGGGUGCAAGCGUUACUCGGAAUUACUGGGCGUAAAGAGAGCGUAGGCGGGAUAGCAAGUCAGAUGUGAAAUCCUAUGGCUUAACCAUAGAACUGCAUUUGAAACUGUUAGUCUAGAGUAAGGGAGAGGUAGGUGGAAUUCUUGGGGGAGGGGUAAAAUCCGUAGAGAGCGAGAGGAAUACUCAUUGCGAAGGCGACCUGCUAGAACAUAACUGACGCUGAAGCACGAAAGCGUGGGGAGCAAACAGGAUUAGAUACCCUUGUAGUC
rnacentral:rRNA from 1 species